CGGAGUGUAGCGCAGCCCGGUAGCGCACCUGGUUUGGGACCAGGGGGUCCAAGGUUCGAAUCCUUGUACUCCGACCA
rnacentral:tRNA from 156 species